GGGGACGUUACGGAUUCGACAGGGGUGGUUCAAGCUCUGGUCGCGCGUCGGAGGUCUCGUCUUCGUCAACAACGGAAGUUAUAUAAUAACUGGCAAACAACAAAACUUCGCUUUCGCAGCUUAAUAGCGCGUAGCACUCAGCCUGUCUAUCGCCCAUGUAGACUACGCUGGGUUCAACUUAAGUGGGAUACGAUCGUUGGUACCACCUGAGUCAACGGUAAGAGAUUCCCAGGUUAGCGAUUCGGACGCCUGUUUGUCGGCAUAAGAACUCGCGAAUUGCAAGUAGACAAACUACACGCGUAGAAGCCGGCGUAUUGGAGCUUCUGGACGUGGGUUCGACUCCCACCGUCUCCAUAC
rfam:Solibacillus silvestris StLB046 DNA, complete genome.